rnacentral:rRNA from 1 species
AGUGAACGCUGGCGGCAGGCCUAACACAUGCAAGUCGAGCGGCCCUUCGGGGCACCGGCGGACGGGUGAGUAACGCGUGGGAACGUGCCCUUUGGUACGGAACAACAGAGGGAAACUUAAGCUAAUACCGUAUGUGCCCUACGGGGGAAAGAUUUAUCGCCAUUGGAGCGGCCCGCGUUAGAUUAGGUAGUUGGUAGGGUAAUGGCCUACCAAGGCGACGAUAUAUAGCUGGUCUGAGGAGAUGAUCAGGCACCCUGGGACUGAGAAACGGCCCAGACUCCUACGGGAGGUAGCAGUGCGGAAUCUUGCGCAAUGGGCGAAAGCCUGACGCAGCCAUGCCGCGUUAAUGAUGAAGGUCUUAGGAUUGUAAAAUUCUUUCACCGGGGACGAUAAUGACGGUACCCGGAGAAGAGGCCCCGGCUAACUUCGUGCCAGCCGCCGCUGUAAAAC